CACAGGUACAUUGUAUCACACACAGGUACGACGUAUCACACACAGGUACAUUGUAUCACACACAGGUACGACGUAUCACACACAGGUACAUUGUAUCACACACAGGUACGACGUAUCACACACAGGUAGGACGUAUCACACACAGGUAGGACGUAUCGCACACAGGUAGGACGUAUCGCACACAGGUAGGACGUAUCGCACACAGGUAGGACGUAUCGCACACAGGUAGGACGUAUCGCACACAGGUACGACGUAUCGCACACAGGUACGACGUAUCGCACACAGGUAGGACGUAUCGCACACAGGUAGGACGUAUCGCACACAGGUAGGACGUAUCGCACACAGGUAGGACGUAUCACACACAGGUACGAUGUUCGAGGGACAGUGCUGACAGACCUCCAGUGUAAUGAGGGCACGUACAUCCACACAUAAUGUGUGAGCAGUUUUUCUCUGAGGAACAAAAACCCAUAAAAGAACAACAUCAUCUACCUAAAUAUGUUUUCUUUUUCACUUCAUCCAAUAUCUGUUCAAUACAUGUUGACUAGGAGUGGAUAAAAAUAUCGAUACGGCAAUAUAUCGCGAUACUUUCCCGCCCGAUACAAUAUCGAUUUUUCAACUCCAAAGAUCGAUUUUGUUUUUUCAGAAUAAUGAUUGAUGUUUAGACGCGUUGUGAAUACAGUACGACCUCCGUACCUCCA